CCUACGGGAGGCAGCAGUCGGGAAUAUUGGACUAUGGGCGAAAGCCUGAUCCAGCCAUGCCGCGUGUGUGAAGAAGGUCUUCGGAUUGUAAAGCACUUUAAGUUGGGAGGAAGGGUUGUAGAUUAAUACUCUGCGAUUUUGACGUUACCGACAGAAUAAGCACCGGCUAACUCUGUGCCAGC
rnacentral:rRNA from 1 species